rnacentral:lncRNA from 1 species
CAAAAUGCUCGGAAAGCUAGGAAAGCAAACAAUGACAUGAACCUACAAGAAACAAUGGACAAAGAAUUGGAUAGCCAUAGACUGGAGCAUGGUCCAAAGAAGAGAAAGAUACCAGGUGGAAACAACAAUGAAGAUGAGGAAGAUGUGGAAGAUAUCAAUGUUGGGGAAGAUGAUAUGAUGGAUGAUGUGUUGGGUGUUGAUGAUAAUAAUGGUAGGAGGGGAGAUGAAACAGCGAAAGCAGAG